rnacentral:rRNA from 1 species
GACGAACGCUGGCGGCGUGCCUAAUACAUGCAAGUCGAACGAGAGCGACCGGUGCUUGCACUGGUCAAUCUAGUGGCGAACGGGUGAGUAACACGUGGGUAACCUGCCCAUCAGAGGGGGAUAACAUUCGGAAACGGAUGCUAAAACCGCAUAGGUCUUCGAACCGCAUGGUUUGAAGAGGAAAAGAGGCGCAAGCUUCUGCUGAUGGAUAGACCCGCGGUGCAUUAGCUAGUUGGUGAGGUAACGGCUCACCAAGGCCGUGAUGCAUAGCCGACCUGAGAGGGUGAUCGGCCACAUUGGGACUGAGACACGGCCCAAACUCCUACGGGAGGCAGCAGUAGGGAAUCUUCCGCAAUGGACGCAAGUCUGACGGAGCAACGCCGCGUGAGUGAAGAAGGUUUUCGGAUCGUAAAACUCUGUUGUUAGAGAAGAACAAGUGCUAGAGUAACUGUUAGCGCCUUGACGGUAUCUAACCAGAAAGCCACGGCUAACUACGUG